GGCAUCUUUCUAAGCACCAGGUGUGGCCACUAGCCUAUAUGAAGGCCCAAAAUUGUGUGUUCCUUUCUGCUCUGACAAUGGCAUGCCCAUUAUUGCGAGAUGUGGUGGAUGAAGAAGCACUUGUGCUGAGGAGAGCCUUCAGGCGAGAAAGGGUCUUCAGGGACCGGUUGGACCCACUGGCCUUCCCUGAUGACCAUCUAUAUGAAAGAUACAGGUUUUCUGCAGAUGGCAUCAGGUAUCUAUGCAGACUACUGGGUCCCAGGAUUAAGCACCGCACUGCACGGAGCCAUGCACUGUGUGGAGCAAAUGGUUUGUGUGGCCUUGCGCUUUUUUGCUAGUGGAGCCUUCCUGUACUCAGUGGGGGAUGCAGAACAGCUGAACAAGGCCACAAUUUGCCGCACAAUAAGGAGUGUGUGUCUGGCUAUCAAAGCAUUAGCAGAUGUCUUCAUCUCCUUCCCUGGCCACAGAAGACUCUGUGACAUGAAAGAGGAGUUCUAUAGGAUUGCAGGUUUCCCCAAUGUCAUUGGUGCAGUGGACUGCACACACAUAAGGAUAAAAGCCCCCUCAGGUGCCCAUGAGGCCGAUUUUGUGAAUAGGAAAAUCCUUUCACAGCAUUAAUGUUCAGAUGGUCUGCAAUGCUGACUGUGUGAUCAGCAAUGUUGUGGCAAAAUGGCCUGGCUCAGUCCAUGACUCCAGAAUCUUUCAGGCCUCUGAAAUCUAUCAGUGCCUAUCACAAGGUGAAUUCUCUGGUGUGUUGCUGGGAGACAGGGGGUAUGGCUGCCAGCCUUUUCUCCUGACACCUUUCACAGACCCCCAGGAAGCACAGCAGGCCUACAACCAUGCCCAUGCCAGGACCAGGGCCAGAGAUGAAAUGACCUUUGGCCUCCUGAAGGCACGCUUUCACUGCCUUCACAAAUUAAGGGUCAACCCUGU